AUGGAAAGAAACAAGAAUGCUGACUCCAGGACUGCUACUCAAGGCUUCGAAGUCUAUUGUGUUUGGAGCUCUGAGGAAAAGUGGAGUGAACCCUUUAGCAUUCAUUUCUUGACCCUUCUCUAUGUGAACAUACAGAAAUCAAAUCUGUUCAGCCUUUAUUUUUGGCAAAGUUAAGAACAGCUCUACUUCAUCCUAAUCUCUAUGAUCCCAGUCGACCUUCUUCCACAAACUAUUUAAAGACGUGUUCCUCAAAGUUAUAUUUGUCCUUCCUUGAGAGAAGAAGAGUUUACUGUUAUGGUUUGAAUAAAAAAUGUCCCCCAAAAGGCUUAUGUGUUCAGAGAUGUGGACUUUGGAAGGUGAUUAGAUCAUAGAGGCACAGU
rnacentral:lncRNA from 1 species